CAAUAGCGUAUAUUAAAGUUGUUGCAGUUAAAAAGCUCGUAGUUGGAUUUCUGGUUGAAGCGACCGGUCGGGCGUUGAUUCGUCUGCACUGGAGUCGGUUUUGGCCAUCCUCUAGGAAAGUGCGUCUGGUAUUAAGUUAUCGGGCGUAUGAUCCUGGUCUUUUACUGUGAAAAAAUUAGAGUGUUUAAAGCAGGCCUUCGCCUUGAAUACAUUAGCAUGGAAUAAUAAGAUAGGACUUUGGUCUAUUUUGUUGGUUUGCAGGCCGAAGUAAUGAUUAAUAGGGAUAGUUGGGGGUAUUUAUAUUCCGAUGUCAGAGGUGAAAUUCUUAGAUUUUCGGAAGAUAAACUUAUGCGAAAGCAUUUACCAAGGAUGUUUUCAUUAA
rnacentral:rRNA from 1 species